UACGAAGGGGGCUAGCGUUGCUCGGAAUCACUGGGCGGAAAGCGCACGUAGGCGGAUUGCUAAGUCAGGGGUGAAAUCCUGGAGCUCAACUCCAGAACUGCCUUUGAUACUGGCGAUCUCGAGUCCGGGAGAGGUGAGUGGAACUGCGAGUGUAGAGGUGAAAUUCGUAGAUAUUCGCAAGAACACCAGUGGCGAAGGCGGCUCACUGGCCCGAUACUGACGCUGAGGUGCGAAAGCGUGGGGAGCAAACAGG
rnacentral:rRNA from 1 species